AAGAAAGCUGUGCUGCUGCUUACCAAACCCCGAUCCUGGCAAUUUCUCUAUCACUGAAUCUUUGACCCAGUCGGCUUCUGGCCCAGGAAGGAGUCUUAACUAUUGGCCCUAAAACACUUCCGCCCUCGUCAGAAGCGUCUUCAGCCCAGCUUUGCGGGACGCUAGUCGCCACGGUCACGCCAAGUUAUGGCCCAAGGCUGCUCGAGCUAGACCUUGAAGGCUGAGGAAAACUCACCAUGAAGCAAGUCCCAUUGGACGAAGAGUUGAUCAUAGCAUUUCUCAGGUAAAAGAAUCGGCACCAGCAACCCUUUGAACGGUCCGUCCGCCUCCCCCGCCAUGUUGGAAAGCAAGCUUCCGCCAGGCGGGAUAACCCCGCCAUUGACCUGCGCCGCGCAUGCGCGCCGCGUCCACUCAGCCUGGCUGUCCCGGGGCCAGGGCUGCACUUCCCUGCACUAGCCUCAGGAAGGGGACGCAGCACUCCUGUGCAGACUGAGUUUUGUACGCGCCUUGACGUUCGAAUUUUAAAGCGGGUGAGAGUUUUACGCCUGCGCAGUUACAACUUCCGCACUUUUGUUGACGCUCUCAGUUCUGAAAGCAAGGUUUAUUCCUCCCCUUCCCUGUCUCUCCUGCAUAUGCGCCAUCUUGUCUUUUCUCUGCCAACUUUAUGUUGUUUGAAGUUGGAGAGGAGAAGAGUUCGAGUCUUCAAAAUGGCGCUAGUGGAGGCGCUGCAACUCUCUUAUCUUUUCCUCUUGGUUUCUCCGGAAGGAAUAGAGCCAAAAAAGGGCCAUUCUGAGCUGGGCCUUCCUCCUAGUCUCCUGCUUCGUCCUCUGUCCAGAUGUUAAGAGAAUGACAGUGAAGAGCUGAAGAGGGGCGAGCUCAGCUGCAGGAGAGCAGCCCCUGACACCACGGGCGAACGACCGCAGCUUCGCUGUGUCUAGGUGGGAGCCCAGAGGAUGCAAGCAAAAAUUCCAACAUUUGUCUGGGAAAGGACUCGUAGGGUUAGGCGAAGAGAGCCAUUUACAUUCCACCACUCUGCCUAGACACCCACUCUUGGUUCAGGCUGUAGGGGCACUCCUAAACUGUUUCCCCGUUCCUUGUUCUUGGGUUCUUAAGGGGGUAGGGGGUAGUUGCUAGGCAGGGCCUAUUGCCACAUGUACCUCUGUUGUGUGGAGCUCUCGUCCAAUGAUUUCUGUAACUUCAUGGGACUGUAAAUUGGAAGGGCACCCAUCCUUGGCUCUCAUCCGUUGUACUAUGCCCUACUAUAAACAGACUUUAUACUUGAUUUUUUUUUUCUUUUUGGUUUUCAUAGAAGUCAGAGUAUCUGUGGUACCAGUGGGCUCUACAGUGAACUAGCCCUGGCCACAGUGGACAUGAAAUCUCACUAUUCAAUAGCCACUUUUGAAAUAAAAUGAUACAGCCACGUA